AUGUACAAGUGCACUCAAAAUGAGAUCUGCUUCUGUUUCCAGACUGGUCUGGGGCCCACCUGCCUCAGCAUGUUAACUGGACACCAUCUUUCUAUCCAGACACCAAUUCCUUCCCGUCCCGGGGAGAAGGAUAACGUGUUGGAGAAAACAGUAACGCGACUUUGCAAAAUUCCAGCUCAGAGCAGCCUUCGGUUGAUUAUUUCUCUAAAUAGUGGUGAUGACGCGGGGAGGAAGAGUCAUUUCUUUACACCCAAAGAAUGGCUAUUUUUAUGACAUCCCAAGACAAGAAAAAUGAGGGCUCUGCACACUGCUCCUGACUGCUUCUGACCGACCAAAAAGGAAACGUUUCCUGUGGACGAGAAGACGUUUUGAGUUUCUCCUGCUGGCAAUGUGUACUUUUUCCAGACUUUUGUUGAAAUCUCUGAUUCGUAUGGCUCCGUGUUGAGGACAGGGACUUGUGACAGGAACUCACAGUUGCUUUUGGACCACACACCUGCAUGAGGGUGCUGGCCUCCAGCCCUCCUCAGAGUCUGAUCAGGGCAGGGGUGCGGGUAACAUUUAUUUUGGCUACUACCGCGGGUCUCUGCUUCUUGGUUAUGAGCAGCAAGUCUGGG
rnacentral:lncRNA from 12 species